rnacentral:lncRNA from 1 species
CCCGUGCUCAGAGAGGUCAGCAUGCUCAGGAUCACAGCGAGAAGCUAGUGGAGUCAGGACGCAAACUCAGAUCCGUCUGGUUCCAGAGCUUUCUAAAGUAUGUUUGUCUGGGGAAGAAUCAGCCCCACAUGGGCCUGGAAAGAGGCGUGGGGUGAAGGAAUGUUUUACAAUACGCUUGGGGGCGCUGCGCUUGUGCACACCUGUAAUCCCAGCUACUCAGAGGCUGAAACAGGACUGAAAGUUCAAGGCCAGGCUGGGCAACUUGGCAAGACCCCCGUCUCAGAAUGAAAAUGCCCGGAUGUAGCUCUGGCAGAGCACCUGCCUAGCUCAUGUGGGGCCUGGCUUCAGUUCCCAGUACCACCGAAGAGCUGUGCCCUGGGACAGUCCAACUGCUUUUCUGUUGCAGGGGAGUAGGGUUGUGUCCUGCUGUGUGCGUGCAUGUGUGUGUGCGUGUGAGGAGAAUUUAGUCAGAAUAGGAAAGAAUUCCAAAUCCGUAUCUGUUACCUAAAAUGCCUACCCCUGCCAGUCCAAAGCAGACCACUCAGGACCCUCAGAAUCUGCGAAAGGACAUGCCCCAGGAGGAAUGCCCCUCUCCUCCCAAGCCUGGGGAGGAAGGGAGACUGGACUCUUCCCACAUCCAGCAUUGCUCAGGGCCCUCUGCCCUGUGGAGUGCUCCAGAUCAAAGCUACCGGGUGGCGCAGUUCUCCCACCCACUGCAGGCUGGCAUCGAUGGAUGCUCCUUCCCACUUCUGAAUGCACCUUUCCCUCUGCCUCUCCGCCACUGCCUGCAGUGCCCAGGGCCAGAGAGUGCACCAGGCCUAGGUCCCCAGCACGCUCCACGGCUAGCUGAGUGGGAGCACAGCUCUUCCACCGUCACCCGAGGAAGGAACGCCACACACCACCUCAGAUGACUAUCCGGCAGAAGCUGGCCGAGAACCUUUGCCUCACUGUCUUGUCCUGUUCUUGUUUGUCUUUUGGCUUUGGAAUUGCAUAGAGUUCUCUGCCAAAGCUAAUCACUUAAGAUUUGCAGGGAGUGGGUGGAGGUGAGCAAAGGAAGCAUCUGGAGAAGUGUGGCUAUUCGUGCCGUUUUGGUGGAACCGCCCCAUUUUAGCACAUGGUUUACAUGCUGAGGUUAGGGUCCCUGGAAAUGGGAGUGUGACUUGCUUGCCCCGCAGAGCAGACGGGGGCAGCCCUGGACCCCAAGGUGCUGAGGGCUGUCUCUGUCUCAGGCCGCAAAGCUCUCAGGCUGGGCAACUUGGUUAUACCCAGAGGUGCCAAAACUUCCUUCUUUCUGAGCUUCUGGAGGAGUCCUGCCCACCCACCCACUAACUCUGGUUUUGCUUUGCAGUAGUAACAGGCAUUUGAAUUGACCUUUGAGAACAGGAAAUGCUCUUUGGUUUCUCAUGGCACAUGCGGCACAGCUGGUGACAUUCUGUCCUGCGGUUCAGUGGCCUUGAGGACAAAAGACACUGGUACGACUAUGUCCCUUUCAUCCACUCACUGUCCUGGUCCAGCAGCUAUAGCCAGAGUCCUGGGACCCUCUGGCUUUUUCAUUCUGCUGGCACCCCCAAAGGCAACCAGCCCCC